rnacentral:rRNA from 1 species
AUGAGGAAUGGUGGCAAGAGAGGCUAUCCAUGUUGUCAUCAACUCCAAUGUACUAUUCCCGACGACAUGUCAGGACGUACGAUUUUUAAGUUAGAGAGUGGCCACACAGCAGGCUGCAGAGCCUGGACAUUUGGCCUGCAGUUGGUUGACCGCGAAGGUUUCUCCCCAUCCGAGCCAGUUCCAAUUUGUUCUACAAGCCAAGGCCAGGGCAAUGAAAAUGGUCAAUUCACUCCACCACCUAGCUGUAAAAUAAUUCCUGAUGCCUUUCAAGCCGAGACAAUUUGUAUAAAUAUGCCAUGCACUUACUACUUUAUGGAUAUAUGGGAUGCCCUCUGUUCAUUGUUGCUAGAGGCGAGGGAGCGACCACUAUUUAUCGAUUGGGAAUGUGUGAAAUCAAGGUGCCUCUCUGGGCCACCACAUUGCAUGGCUUUUAUGGGCUACUACUAUUUUAGCACAUGGGGCAGCUUCUCAAGGCAGCUUUGA